UGUGGCAUGGAUUCCAAACAAAAAUGGUGAAGGAGCAAAGGUUUACCUUUCCAUGGUGCUGCUAGGUUUAAAUGUGCCUCCACGCACAAGGUGGUCAUUGUUUUUAACAUGGGAAUGUGUUUAGAUUCACAGGAACUGUAAUAACUGCUAACAACUCUAUGAAGAAAGAAGAGACCUGGAGAAUGAGGUGCCUGUCCUGUGGGGAAAACCAACAGCGUCAUCUCCUUCAGGAAAAAUUGCAUGCUGUCUUACGUACCUUUGCAUAUGGGUAGAGAAAAUAAACUUGAGCAAGCUAACAAAUAAAAUUUCAA